rnacentral:rRNA from 1 species
CCCGUGCGGCUGGGCUACUCAUGCAGUCGAACGAGACCUUCUGGUCUAGCUGGCGCACGGGUGCGUUAACGCGUGGGAACCUGCCUUUACGUUCGGAAUAACAGUGAGAAAUUACUGCUAAUACCGGAUAAUGUCUUCGGACCAAAGAUUUAUCGCCUUUAGAUGGGGCCGCGUUGGAUUAGCUAGGUGGUGGGGUAAAGGCCUACCAGGGCGACGAUCCAUAGCUGGUCUGAGAGGAUGAUCAGCCACACUGGGACUGAGACACGGCCCAAACUCCUACGGGAGGCAGCAGUGGGGAAUAUUGGACAAUGGGCGAAAGCCUGAUCCAGCAAUGCCGCGUGAGUGAUGAAGGCCUUAGGGUUGUAAAGCUCUUUUACCCGAGAUGAUAAUGACAGUAUCGGGAGAAUAAGCUCCGGCUAACUCCGUGCCAGCAGCCGCGGUAAUACGGAGGGAGCUAGCGUUGUUCGGAAUUACUGGGCGUAAAGCGCACGUAGGCGGCUUUUUAAGUCAGGGGUGAAAUCCCGGGGCUCAACCCCGGAACUGCCCUUGAAACUGGGAAGCUAGAAUCUUGGAGAGGCGAGUGGAAUUCCGAGUGUAGAGGUGAAAUUCGUAGAUAUUCGGAAGAACACCAGUGGCGAAGGCGACUCGCUGGACAAGUAUUGACGCUGAGGUGCGAAAGCGUGGGGAGCAAACAGGAUUAGAUACCCUGGUAGUCCACGCCGUAAACGAUGAUAACUAGCUGUCCGGGCUCAUAGAGCUUGGGUGGCGCAGCUAACGCAUUAAGUCAUCCGCCUGGGGAGUACGGUCGCAAGAUUAAAACUCAAAGGAAUUGACGGGGGCCUGCACCAGCGGUGGAGCAUGUGGUUUAAUUCGAAGCAACGCGCAGAACCUUACCAGCCUUUGACAUCCUAGGACGACUUCUGGAGACAGAUUUCUUCCCUUCGGGGACCUAGUGACCGGUGCUGCAUGGCUGUUGUCAGCUCGUGUCGUGAGAUGGUGGGUUAAGUCCCGCAACGAGCGCCACCCUCGUCUUUAGUUGCCCUCCUUAAGUUGGGCCCUUUAAGGAAACCGCCGGUGAUAAGCCGGAGGAAGGUGGGGAAGACGUCAAGUCCUCCUGGCCCUUACAGGCUGGGCUACCCCCGUGGUACAAUGGCAUGUACAGUGGGCAGCUCUUCCGCAAGGAUGCGCUAAUCUCCAAAAGACGUCUCACUUCGGAUUGUCCUGUGCAACUCGAGGGCAUGAAGGCCGAAUCGCUAGUAAUCGCGGAUCAGCAUCGCCGCGGUGAAUACGUUCCCAGGCCUUGUACACACCGCCCGUCACACCACGGGAGUAGGAUUCACUCGAAGGCGUUGAGCUAACCCGCAAGGGAGGCAGGCGACCCACAGUGGGUAGGAGAGU